UUAUUCCGUGCCAUACCGGAAGCGGUGGGCUCGAUGCUGAGAGCUUCAUGUUGCCGGUCAGCAGAAGGUCAGCCAACACCAGCAACAGCGGCAGUAGCGGAUAGUUGUCGGUCAAGUAGCAGGAAGUUAACGAUUGAUCGGUUAAUCGGCUCCGUUUGUGCUCUUUGGGCGGGAAACCGGCAGCUUCCGGUCCGUGUCUGCCAAACUAAUGCUAACAGGCUAACUAUUAGCUGCUAGCAUGCAGUGCGCGCACCCCAUGAAGAAGAGAAGUCUGGAGGCGGAGCCGCGCAACUCCAAAGCGAAGCGGCUCUGUUUGGAGGCAGAGCUCCAGAUGUCCGACUGUCCAAUGGAGACGUCGCAGAGCAGUCCUGCGACCAAUCAGCAGCCGGAUCAACAGGUACGGCCCACACCUGCUCUGCUCUGCUGUCCCAGGUGUCUCAGAGGAGAACCGGGUCACUUCAACCACAUCAUGGGCCUCUGAAGCUCCACCCAUUCUCCCGCAACCAGCCGUCCAAUCACAUUGAUGCUUCAGGUGCUUCAGUAAAAUGGUGCUGCUAGAAGAUGUCAUCAAGGCCCCACCUCACCUUCACGCCGUUAUCAAGGAGACGGUUUAACGUUUCCAUCCAGUGAUGCGUUCAGGACCAGCAGUACUCCUCAGACUUAAGUUCUGAAAUCUCUGAUGUCCUUGCGUCCCUGAACACACCACUACGUGUAAGCGUUUACCUGAGCUUUAAGCCCGCCCCCUCUCCUGUGUGAUAUGUGUGACAGUCCAAUCAAUGAUCAAUAACUGUGAUUGACGUGGUGGUGUGUUCCUUGUCUCCGUUUAAAGGGCUUUCACACAGUGAAGACUUGUGAUGUGUUUACAAGAAAAAAGCCAGUAGAAUUUUUUUAAGCUCCAGUAUAGAAGCAACUGAAAGGCUUAACGAGGUGUUAAUGAGUUUACUGUAAGGGGAAGGAAAAUUCAUGUGGUAAAUAAUAAGAGUCUUCCUGUCUGUACAUUUCUAUUUUUCUGAGGCACAUUUUUAUAUUUUUACUCUUGAAUUUGACUGAAUGUAAAAGCAGCUCCCUAUUUUUGAUGACAUUACUGCCGCUAUCUGGGCUGACCAAUCAGAGGCCAGCAUUUGUACUGAUUUCAGAAUAAAAGCUUUGACUGUGAA